rnacentral:misc_RNA from 1 species
UCGUACAAUGGAGGUGCUGGGGUUGUCGCUGACUUUUUGAAAGGGUCGUGCACACCUCAGUGCUCUCACACACAAUCCAUCUCACCCCUUUUGUGCAUCACCGCGUGGGGACCCCUUUGCAGGAGGGCUCGCGUUUUAACACACAAAACUUGAUACAGUGUAGAAUGUCUAUUUUUGCGGUCACACGCAAUCAAUA